AGCUUCUGAACUGACCAACCAACAGCAACACCUGCCAGUCAUAAGGCUGGCCUUCUGUGUUGCUCCUGGGUGCCCAGUGUUCAGUAGGUUCUCCAGAAUGCGCUUGAGGACCAGUUUUUCAUGAAGAUCCUUCUUCAGGGGCAUCAGGCUUGUGUUGUGAGCCCGGCAGAUACACCAGAGGGACACAGGAGGAAAAGCCUGAACAGGAAUCCAACAGGGUAUGGAGAGGAAGGAAGGGUUGGGGCCACAUCGCCUCCCUCUAGUCCUCAGAGACCAAACCCAGUCACUCAGCCCCCGAGGGUCUCCCUGAAGACUAGAGGGUCUGUGUGAUCACCCAGAGUGCCCACCUCCCAUGGAGGAGCCUAUCAGAACUCGAGACCAGCUCCCUGACCAUGUCUGUGACCCC